AGCGCUGGAGAGAGAGGAGGCGUCACAAACAAAUACUCGAAGAAGCAAACCACGCACUCUGAAACCUCUCUCCCCACGGCGCUGCCUUCCAAAACUAUUAGAUCCAAGCUCCUGAGAAAAGUUACACAAGGUUAGCUGUAGGGGACACACACACGAGAGGUGGCCAGUAGUGAGCCCGACCAUUAUGGACGGAAAACACGGAUUUAUACCCCAGCCCGCUGGGGUAUAACCUGGAGCAAAUUCAUCUCUAUUAUAGUCACUGUGAACUGAGGAUUUCAUCCUAAAUUUCUUAUUUCAGAAAAAGUAUGUUCUCUGGGCCUUACCCAUUUAAGAACUCAGAUUCUAAACGUGGAGGCCAUCAGAGCCAAGGUCUCUAUAAUGUCCCGAUUCGGCAGCUCCGUAAGCUGGCCCACCAUCAGAGCUUUGCAUGCCACCAUCAAAGGACACACACGGGAGACUUCCCUUGUCGUCCAGUGGCUAAGACUCCAUGCUCUCAGGGCAGGGGCCCUGAUCCCUGGUCGGGGAACUAGAUCCCACAUGCCGCAACUAAGAGUUUGCAUGCCGCAACUAAAGAUCCCACAUGCUGCAACUAAAAAGAUCCCGCGCACGACAACCAAGAUCCUGCAUGCUGCAAGUAAGACCUGGCACAGCCAAAUAAAUAAUAAAUAUUGAAGAACAAAAAAGGACACACGCAGGCAAGAAGAGAGCCAUGCGUCCCGAGACGUGUCAAGACGCCAGGGCACAGGCUGCCUGGUCCAUUAAUUCAAGAGUCAUCGGCCACAGUGUCACCGAGGGAGGCUCACCGAGGCUGCUCCUGUCUGCAGGUCACUCUGCCCAUGUUGUCCCUCCCCUGGGGUCUACCUGGGGCUCCUCUCGGGGCUAUUGGGAUCGGAUGGUCACUGCUGCCCUCCUCUCCCUGAGGUGUCCUGCGCAAACGCCUCCUCUCCACCAGGAGUCUUAUCUCAUAUUCCAGUUGUCGCACUGGAUUCUGAGACACCCCCUUCUCCAGGUGUGCCAAGGUGGAGUUAAAAUUACAAGGAUCCUGCAGAAUGAGAAAGACUGGGAAGAAACGUGCUACCAGAGAUAUCUGCGAUUAACAUGAACCAUAUUAAUGUUUUCCAGUCGAGUCAAAGAUCAUUUUUAACCUGGGCUGGAUAUUUUCUCAGUUGCCUCCAGAGUUCCACUCAACGAGAGUGUAUGUAAUUUCUGUAGUGUGUUUGUUAAAGCCCAUAUUUAGAACAAAGCCAUUUGGAAUGUAGAUUGGUACAGCCACUAUGGAGAACAGUAUGGAGGUUCCUCAAAAAACUAAGAAUAGGGCUUCCCUGGUGGCGCAGUGGUUGAGAGUCCGCCUGCCGAUGCAGGGGACACGGGUUCGUGCCCCGGUCUGGGAAGAUCCCACAUGCCGCGGAGCGGCUGGGCCCAUGAGCCAUGGCCGCUAAGCCUGCGCGUCCGGAGCCUGUGCUCCGCAGCGGGGGAGGCCACAGCAGUGAGAGGCCCGCGUACCGCAAAAAAACAAAGAAACAAAAAACUAAGAAUAGAGUUGCCAUAGGAUCCUGCAAUCCCACUCCCGGGCGUAUAUCUGGACAAAACUAUAAUUAAAAAACACACAUGCACUCCUAUGUUCACAGCAGCACUAUUUACAAUAGCCAAGACAUGGAAAACAGCCUAAAUGCCCAUCGACAGAGAAAUGGAUAAAGAAGAUGUGGUACAUAUAUACAAUGGACUAUUACUCAGCAUAAAAAGAAUGAAAUAAUGCCAUUUGCAGAAACAUGGAUGGACCUAGAGAUUAUCAUACUAAGCAAAGUAUCUCAGGCUUCUAAGUGAAAGAACGCUCAGGACGGUGUGGUGAAAUCUGCCCAUAUUAACUACCCACAGUAAUCAUUUUAACUGUUUCUGCUUUGAACGGCUUCACCCUGGGAGAGCAAACAUCUCUGGCUCUUCACAGAAGCAGAUUCCCUUCGAGAACUGAGAGACUGGUGGUGUUACACGGAGGUGGCAAUUUAGACUUUUUCCUCUCAAUAACUUUACUAUUUCUAUACUUCUUGAUUAGCUCAAAACAUUGAAGUAAAUCAGGGCCACGGGAUGGGGAGCAGGGAAGGAGGGAAGCUGAGACCUGGAGACCAGAAGGGGGUCUGAGGAAACCCCGAGAAGGUGUCAGUCACCUGCUGUGACUGAAAGCACCCCAGUUUGGUCCAGCUGAGCCCAAACCCACUGGCAGUUGCCCGAAACAGUUUACAAAAGUGCCGUCAAUUAGCCAGAAACAGCACAGGUUUAACACACCUUGUGGUUUUACCCUCAAAACAUUACAAGGAAGAGAGUUCCUAGGGAACACUUCAGCUUCAUGGGUAAAGAAGAUGAAGACUUCGGGAAAUGCUGAAAAUGUUAACAAACCCCAGAGAGGAGGCAGAGAGCCUCUCAGCUACUCAGCUGUUUCGCUUCUUUUUCUCUUUUCAUGGAAAGCACGAGCUCAAAGGAGCAGGGACGGGGUAACCGUGACCAGAAGGCGCUGAAGCUGGAAGUGGAGCCAGGAGAAAAGCUGUGUCUCUCGCCCAGGUAUGCCGCCUCCCACCCCAAGUCAGGAGUCCCCGACCGUUUCAGGUUGUUUCCAGGCCCGUCAGGAAUCCUGACAGUACGGACCUGGAGAGGAAGAAUGCAGUUUCCUGCACUCUGCACACUGCAGCCUGCUGUCAUUGUCAUUUAUGUUGGACAAACCCUGAAAGACACAGAGACACACUCACUAAAUGUUCCAUCUCACAGAAGCAGCUGAUGCGGUCGAGUGACCAGAAGCCAGGUGGCCCUGCAGAGCAGGAGGACCAGCUGAAAGCUCAGGUGAAAGUGAAGAGGGGAGAAUGUCAAGCCUCCGUUCGGGGCCCAACAACUUAAUUUCAGAAUUGGGAGACCUGAGCGUCACCUCCUUGACCAAGCUUCCCAUCAAUGCCACCCUCUUGUGUUUCCUGAUUCCCUGCUGUGGGCUCUCGAGGGCAAAACCCCUGGCUGAGAUCAGGGACCACACCCACAGACCACCCAGGCCUGGCACGGGGUCCACAUCUAACCCGUAUUUGCCAAAAGAACAAUUUCAUGCAUAGUAACAAAACAAAAGCAAUUUUACACAAUGAAAGCACAAAAUUCCAAGAUCAAACCAUCAGUGAGCUUGUGCACAUCUGAGCAGGGCCACCUGGGGCAUGUGGGGAGGCCGGGAUGGGCACCUUGGUCACAGGAAGGACUUCUGAGGGUAUGUGAUUGCAUCUGGUGAAGAGCAAUCCCACUGCCCUGGAGGAUGGAAUGGAACGGACCUCACGCUUCCACUACACUUUAAAAUACUUGUUACAUUUUGAUUUUACAACAGUAAGAGUAACCUCUAGUUUUUAGAAAUGAAAUACUGCCUACAUACUGUUAACCCUAUUGGCCCAAAUGGUUUAAAACAUCCCAACUUCAACUUUACUUUUUGCUAACAGGACAAAAUAUCUACAGGUUCAUUUAUGUGAUCAAUUUCCAAGUAACCGGUGUGACCGGUGUGACUUUGGCUGUCUCUUCUUCCCUCAGGAAUUCAGUUUCCUUUUCUGUACUAGAUUAUUUAAGUGCCCCCCUGAGUCUUAAAAUUCUAGAAUUCAGUAUAAAAUGAACAGGACCUCCCUGCCAAGUGUGGCAUUCUAAUCUGGAAGACAGUGAGCAGGGAAUCAACUCUCAUCCCUCCCUCCCUCCCUCCUCUUCCCCUCUGUCCAUCAAACAUUUAUUUGUACCAAGCCAAACUCAUUUCUCUGGUUAGGGGCAUAUAUCGUGAGUGAGUCAGGAAUACAGGUGUUCCCUCUGUAAAGGUCUUCCAGCAGGUGUCUGUGUCCUGGCUGUGAGCCUCAAGGUACCCUCAAGCAAUCCAGAUGACUGGACCUGUGGACGGGGACGGGGACAGGGCUAGAACGCGCGGGAGAGGAAGCCAUGGGAAAACCCAGUCAAGAGCAAGGAACACAGCUGCUGGGGUGUCCCACAAGGGCGUUCGUUCACAAGAUAGUUCCCUAAUUCUACUGCCCCGUCGUUCAAGGACCUUCUCAACGUCUCUGCCCCUAAGAGAUCAUUUAUUUUGAGACCAAGGCAGGAAUGAUCACUUUCCUCGGGCUCAAAUUUACCAUAUGCUCUAUCAGGAGGCGUAAGAAAUCUGGUCCAUUCUUACAUAUUGAUAAUUCUAUGUUCCAGAGCAGAUGCGGUGGUGUCUUAAACUUUCAUUGUCCUGCCUUUGGGAGUUGUAGACAAUCACAGUGUAUUGUCUUUCUUGCUUUGUUUUAUUUGAAAGCUAACCCCAAGAAGCAUUAUAAGCUAGAAACGGGAACUCUCGAAGGGACCAGGAUGUAGUGAAUGCCUCCUAGGAAAUGCCUCCCCUGCAUCUCUUUGUUUCCUGGCGGUGGGAGUGUGGGGUAGAGCGCAGUUCUUCUCAGGUCUGCUCCCACCCACUUCACACACAGCAGAGUGGACAGGGCCGGAGAGCCGGGGCUGCCCCCUGGCCACCUCCCUGGAACACCUGGCCCAAUGCCUGCAGUGAGGCCACCCUGGUGCUGCUGACCCCAGGGCAGAACAUCGGUAAAUGCAAUCACCACCACCCUGUGUGCACUUUAUCAGGGAAAUGGGGAUCUGGCCUCCCAGGACCAGGCAAGAGUCGGGGGCCCAGAAACCUCAGGGCUCCUCUGACUUGGGCGGGGGGUCAUCAGAUGGUUUAACAGGGGCUGUUGGGGACACACGUGGGGCAGACCAGCUCUCCGUCCCCCGCCCAGGGACAGUACCUGGGACAGGGCUGCAGCGCCAGCACCCAGGCCUAGGUCUCCCUGGGGCAUCUUGUCAGUGAUGUGCAUAUUUCAGAAAUUGUUAGACACGGAGGACCAACUGUCAAAACCUGAGGGUCUGGACAGAAGCAAGGCCUUGCUCUCCCCAAUCAGCUUUCCUGAGUUUCCAAUGAACCUGCCCCGAGGAAGGAACGGCUCCAUUAGAGGCAGGAAGCAGUUCUUGGAGGAAGACGCCACAGAUGAUUGUGACAAGGUCACCUUUGCCUGCAGAGGGGAGUCCAUGCUCCCAAAGAGCAGGGACGGGGGCAGGGGAGAGUCUAACCUCAAAGCUCCAGGACAGAUGGACAGGCAGAGAAGGGCUGGUGACCAUGCAGCUUGUCUGGGCGGACUCGGGAAAGUCCCAGCCCCCCACGGCUCCCAAGUCAGCAUCCAAUAGAGAAAGCGGACGGCAUUGCAAAAAAUACAAAUGACAAACACAUCCCCACAAAAGAAAAUAAGCUAACUGAACUAACUAAAAGGUUCACCCUGGCUCAAGGGAGGUUAGGAGACCAGACACGUGCUACUUUGCCCCGUAAACCAGCAUGUGAAUGACCCCAGAGACGUCGCUGCUCACCCCUUGCUUGAGGACCAGCCUCUUCCGGUUCCCCUGCCCCCACCCCGACUGAUGGGUCCGUCCCUGCACUUCACGACUUGUGGGACAGUGACACCUGCUGACAGUCACGGUUACUAGGCGCCAGUGCUCAGAAAUUAAAUGG